GAUGUACUCAAUCCGUUCGGAACUACUUGUCGCCAAAAUGGAUGUAUCUAGAUGUAUUUUAGUUUUAGAUACAUCCAUUUUCGAGACAAGUAAUUCCAAACGGAGGGAGUAGUAA
rfam:Triticum aestivum genome assembly, contig: Triticum_aestivum_CS42_TGACv1_scaffold_132072_2BL